UACGGAGGGUGCAAGCGUUGCUCGGAAUCACUGGGCGUAAAGCGACCGCAGGCGGCCUGACAAGUCGGAUGUGAAAGCCCUGGGCUCAACUCAGGAACUGCAUUCGAAACUGGUAGGCUCGAGUACGGGAGAGGGGGGUGGAAUUCCUGGUGUAGGGGUGAAAUUCGUUGAUAUCAGGAGGAACACCGGCGGCGAAGGCGGCCCCCUGGCCCGCAACUGACGCUCAUGGUCGAAAGCGUGGGGAGCAAACAGG
rnacentral:rRNA from 1 species